AUUGCUGCCCAAAGAAACACGACAAACAGGCAGCAACAAGAUAAUAUUGUCAGUACUCACGGUCGGCAGUCAUACGCUCAGCGUGAAUGGCGUUACGCUGAAGAUAAUGAUGGGCGACGUGAGGAGCCGCCUGAGUUCUAUUUGCGGGCCCACACGAGACGAGAUGGGACGGUGCAGAACGCAGCUAGGCCCAUUUAUGAGCGGCUUCUUGAUACCCACCAUAGACUUUCCCAAGUGCCCAAUACCCCGCCUACGCAGACAUUUGUGGACGCUUUAGGGACCCGAUCGGGACAUACUCGUGUGGUUGGGCGUGUGGUUAGGGGAACACGUGGACUGAAUGUCCCCCUCCCAGAGGAUAUAGA